rnacentral:rRNA from 1 species
GGGUAGAGUAAUGCGUGACCAACCUGCCCCAUGCUCCAGAAUAGCUCUUGGAAACGGGUGGUAAUGCUGGAUGCUCCAACUUGACGCAUGUCUUGUUGGGAAAGUGUUUAGUGGCAUGGGAUGGGGUCGCGUCCUAUCAGCUUGUAGGCGGGGUAAUGGCCCACCUAGGCUUCGACGGGUAGCCGGUCUGAGAGGGCGGACGGCCACAUUGGGACUGAGAUACGGCCCAGACUCCUACGGGAGGCAGCAGAC